rnacentral:lncRNA from 1 species
UGCCCGGCUGCUCUGACCGCGAGCGGCUGGGUGUCGGUGCCCUGCUCUCCUCUGGGCGCCAGGAUGUUCCUGCCCAGUGCGUGUCCAGAAUAGCCGCUCAGACACCGGCUCCAGAAGAACUAGGUAGCCUGUUCCCACUCAGAAACUCAUUCCACAUGGUUUGGGUGGUCCUACCACUGCCCUCACCCGCGUCAACAAAGGAGUGGGAACCGAACUCAGGCCCUGCCCAUCAGAUCAUCGAAUUCCUCUGGCCACAGUGAUUGGGUUGUGAUCAGUUAGGAUUCUGCACUUGUGACUGAAAAAUCCUUGUACAGGAACCAACCUUCUGGAAACUUCUCCCAUGUGUCAGGCCCACAGCACCUAGCACUGGAUGAGACACAUCACAAAUCCUGGACAAACUCUUGCUGAAACCAUGACAUGUCGAUGGCCCUUCACAGAAGACUUCACAAAAGGCUUCCCAUAACCCUAUUAAUGGAAAAAGGUGACGUGGGCAGAGUAUGCAGUUGUACCUGUUGAAAUAAACAUG